AACGAACGCUGGCGGCAUGCCUAACACAUGCAAGUCGAACGAGACCUUCGGGUCUAGUGGCGCACGGGUGCGUAACGCGUGGGAACCUGCCCUUAGGUUCGGAAUAACUCCCCGAAAGGGGUGCUAAUACCGGAUAAUGUCUUCGGACCAAAGAUUUAUCGCCUUUGGAUGGGCCCGCGUUGGAUUAGCUAGUUGGUAGGGUAAAAGCCUACCAAGGCGACGAUCCAUAGCUGGUCUGAGAGGAUGAUCAGCCACACUGGGACUGAGACACGGCCCAGACUCCUACGGGAAGCAGCAGUGGGGAAUAUUGGACAAUGGGCGAAAGCCUGAUCCAGCAAUGCCGCGUGAGUGAUGAAGGCCUUAGGGUUGUAAAGCGCUUUUACCCGGGAUGAUAAUGACAGUACCGGGAGAAUAAGCUCCGGCUAACUCCGUG
rnacentral:rRNA from 1 species